rnacentral:rRNA from 1 species
AGCAGCCGCGGUAAUUCCAGCUCCAAUAGCGUAUAUUAAAGUUGUUGCAGUUAAAAAGCUCGUAGUUGAAUUUCGGGGUUUAUCCGUUGGUCGGGCUUUUGGGUCUGUACUGGCGUGAUGGAUUCCUACCUUCUGAAUAACCAGCAUGUCAUUAAUUUGGUGCGUUGGGGAAGCAGGACUGUUACCUUGAAAAAAUUAGAGUGCUUAAAGCAGGCUAUUGCCUGAAUACAUUAGCAUGGAAUAAUGAAAUAGGACGCAUGGUUCUAUUUUGUUGGUUUCUAGGAUCACCGUAAUGAUUAAUAGGGAUAGUUGGGGGCAUUAGUAUUCAAUUGUCAGAGGUGAAAUUCUUGGAUUUAUUGAAGACUAACUUCUGCGAAAGCAUUUGCCGAGGAUGUUUUCAUUAAUCAAGAACGAAAGUUAGGGGAUCGAAGACGAUCAGAUACCGUCGUA